GAAUACGAAGAACGUUUAAACACUGUUUUUACAAUAGAAGAAGAAAAUAAAUGCCUGGAGAAAGUAACCUCCGCAAAAGUGGGAUAACCAAGGGCUUUUGUGGCACAAUCUUUACAGACCCAAGAUUUUUCGACAUUCGAAUGUUACUUCGUACGGAAAAUCGAUCCAUCCAAACAUUUUAAACUACAUUUAUAAAAAAAAUUAAUGACUUGUAAUUGAUUUUUUUUAAUUAAAAUUUUUUUCUGAGUUAAUUUAAUUAUGAAUUACUUUAAAAUGAUUAAAACACAAGAUAAUUUAGUUUAUAUUCUAUGAAAAAUUUGAUUUAUUACUUAUACAUUACGGGUAUGUAUGAGAGAUAUAAUUGCGCUCAUUACAGUAUGAAAAUUUCGAGAUUU